UAGCGACAGGCCUAACACAUGCAAGCGAGGGGCAGCACAAGGAGCAAGUCUGAGGUGGCGACCGGCGCACGGUGAGUAACACGUAUGCAACCUGCCUGUAAGCGGGGAAUAACCCGUUGAAAGACGGACUAAUACCGCAUAAUACUAAAUUACUGCAUGGUAAUUUAUUUAAACAUUUAUGGCUUACAGAUGGGCAUGCGCAUGAUUAGCUAGUUGGAGAGGUAACGGCUCCCCAAGGCAACGAUCAUUAGGGGUUCUGAGAGGAAGGUCCCCCACACUGGUACUGAGACACGGACCAGACUCCUACGGGAGGCAGCAGUGAGGAAUAUUGGUCAAUGGACGAGAGUCUGAACCAGCCAAGUCGCGUGCAGGAAGAAUGUCCUUAAUGAAUUGUAAACUGCUUUUGCAGGGGAAUAAAGUGCAUCACGUGUGAUGUUUUGUAUGUACUCUGCGAAUAAGGAUCGGCUAACUCCGUGCCAGCAGCCGC
rnacentral:rRNA from 1 species